rnacentral:rRNA from 1 species
AUUGAACGCUGGCGGCAGGCCUAACACAUGCAAGUCGAGCGGAUGAAGGGAGCUUGCUCCUGGAUUCAGCGGCGGACGGGUGAGUAAUGCCUAGGAAUCUGCCUGGUAGUGGGGGAUAACGUCCGGAAACGGGCGCUAAUACCGCAUACGUCCUGAGGGAGAAAGUGGGGGAUCUUCGGACCUCACGCUAUCAGAUGAGCCUAGGUCGGAUUAGCUAGUUGGUGGGGUAAAGGCCUACCAAGGCGACGAUCCGUAACUGGUCUGAGAGGAUGAUCAGUCACACUGGAACUGAGACACGGUCCAGACUCCUACGAGAGGCAGCAGUGGGGAAUAUUGGACAAUGGGCGAAAGCCUGAUCCAGCCAUGCCGCGUGUGUGAAGAAGGUCUUCGGAUUGUAAAGCACUUUAAGUUGGGAGGAAGGGCAGUAAGUUAAUACCUUGCUGUUGUGACGUUACCAACAGAAUAAGCACCGGCUAACUUCGUG